GACGAACGCUGGCGGCGUGCUUAACACAUGCAAGUCGAACGGAAAGGCCCUGCUUUUGUGGUCUGCUCGAGUGGCGAACGGGUGAGUAACACGUGAGUAACCUGCUCUUGACUUUGGUAUAACUUCAGGAAACUGGGGCUACUACCGGAUAGCAGCUCCUGCUCCAUGGUGGGGGUUGGAAAGUUUCGGCUGGUGGGGAUGGACUGGCGGCUUAUCGGUUAGCUGGUGGGGGAGUGGCUUACCCAGGCAUUGACGGGUAGCCGGCCUGUGAGCGGGACCGGGCACAAGGGGACUGAGGUACGGCCCAGUCGGCUACGGGAGGCAGCAGUGGGGAAUAUUGCACAAUGAGACGAAGCCUGAGGCAGCAACGCCGCGUGCGGGAUGACGGCCUGCUGGUUGUAAACCGCAGUCGCCUGUGACGAAGCGGGAGUGACGGUAAUGAGUAAAGAAGCACCGGCUAACUACGUG
rnacentral:rRNA from 1 species